GUUUCUUGGUCGUUCUCCUCCUACAUAAGAGUUUACAAGCGUUGCAGAUUAACAAGCGUUACAGCUUUCUCUAAAUCGUCCUGCAACCACAACAAGAUUCCUUUAAAUCCAACUACUCCUUCCUCCGAUUCCGACUACCACCUCCUCCGACUCCGACUAUAGCUUCCUCCUUGUUCAAGGAUUUCAACUGUUUGUGCAGAUGUCAUGAACCUUCCCAAACAUGAACUUCUAAACUUUUCCCCUCAAGUUCUAUAAAGUAUAAUCUACUCAUUUUAUUUACCCUGUUUUUGUUGUCUGCUAUUUCCUCAAAUCAAUAAUAAAGAAAGUCCUAAUCAAUUUUGCAAAAGAAAGGAUUUUUAGUUCUAUUGAAUGUGGGCAAGUAGUUCAUCGGGUUGUGAAAGGAAUUGGAGAAGUGGUUGGUAAUUCUAACGUAUAGUAUGAUGUUUAUUGCCUUGAAUGUCAAUUUUUAUGGAUAUUUAUUUAUUUUGUUAGAAUAUAUGUCAUAUUCAAAUGA